rnacentral:rRNA from 1 species
UACAGAGACUGCAAGCGUUAUUCGGAUUCACUGGGCGUAAAGGGUGCGCAGGCGGCCAAGUGUGUCAGGUGUGAAAUCCCGGGGCUUAACUCCGGAACUGCGCCUGAAACUACUUGGCUAGAGCAUUGGAGAGGGAAGUGGAAUUCACGGUGUAGCAGUGAAAUGCGUAGAUAUCGUGAGGAACACCAGUAGCGAAGGCGGCUCGCUGGGCCAUUCCUGACGCUGAGACGCGAAAGCUAGGGGAGCGAACAGG